AUGUCAGUGGCUUAAUGCUUAGACGUUAGGCUUAAAACCAAGGGGUUCCAGGUUCGAAUCCUGGCUAGCGCA